GAUGAACGCUGGCGGCGUGCCUAAUACAUGCAAGUCGAGCGAACACACGAGGAGCUUGCUCCUCUGCCGUUAGCGGCGGACGGGUGAGUAACACGUGGAUAACCUACCUCUAAGACUGGGAUGACUUCGGGAAACCGGAUCCAAUACUAGCUCAUAUAUCGAACCGCAUAGAUCAAUAGUUAUACACGCUUUUCCUGACACUUUUAGAUGAAUCCGCGCCGCAUUAGCUAGUUGGUAAGGUAACGGCUUACCAAGGCAACGAUGCGUAGCCGACCUGAGAGGGUGAUCAGCCACACUGGAACUGAGACACGGUCCAGACUCCUACGGGAGGCAGCAGUAGGGAAUCUUCCGCAAUGGGCGAAAGCCUGACGGAGCAACGCCGCGUGAGUGAUGAAGGUCUUCGGAUCGUAAAACUCUGUUAUUAGGGAAGAACAAAUGUGUAAGUAACUAUGCACGUCUUGACGGUACCUAAUCAGAAAGCCACGGCUAACUACGUG
rnacentral:rRNA from 1 species